rnacentral:tRNA from 1 species
AGGAGGGGUAGGAUAAGGUAAUCCACUGGGCUCAUCCCCCAGUAAUACUGUUCUAGUAAGCAGUCCCCUUUUA